ACUGUCCCUAGAGACUUUGCAGGUGUGGGUGCUGUGUCUUAUGUGCACGGAGAGGAGAGAGGCUAUAUCUAAAUUCAGUAUUCUGACCUACAAACAUCUAAUGACCUAUGAACAUCUAAAUGAUUAGCCUAAUGUU